rnacentral:lncRNA from 1 species
AAAGGGAAAAAAAAAGGCACACAGUCACUGGCAUUGUUACUUUCCACAGUCAUUAAACAUCCACUCAAUCCACUCAAAUUUCUUAUCUGCGUCUUUCAUGAUGGCAAGCAUGUCACGAUAUCGCUUCUGGGCUAGAAGCUGGCAUGUGAAGAAGUAAAGAGAUGUUCGCCGCUCGAGAGAGCCUGUCACUAACAACUCUUGGAUGCAAUCCAUCCCAGCGGUUUCAUUUGAAGCCAUCAUCGUAUGAAUCUUUGCCGCCACUUCCUCCGCCACACUGGUAGUACGAUCUACUUAGAAUAACAAUUCACGAGCGGACAUAUUUU